UAACUGGGCGUAAAGGGCACGCAGGCGGUGACUUAAGUGAGGUGUGAAAGCCCCGGGCUUAACCUGGGAAUUGCAUCUCAUACUGGGUCGCUAGAGUACUUUAGGGAGGGGUAGAAUUCCACGUGUAGCGGUGAAAUGCGUAGAGAUGUGGAGGAAUACCGAAGGCGAAGGCAGCCCCUUGGGAAUGUACUGACGCUCAUGUGCGAAAGCGUGGGGAGCAAACAGGAUUAGAUACCCUGGUAGUCCACGCUGUAAACGAUGUCGAUUUGGGGGUUGAGCUUUGAGCUUGGCGCCCGUAGCUAACGUGAUAAAUCGACCGCCUGGGGAGUACGGCCGCAAGGUUAAAACUCAAAUGAAUUGACGGGGGCCCGCACAAGCGGUGGAGCAUGUGGUUUAAUUCGAUGCAACGCGAAGAACCUUACCUACUCUUGACAUCCAGAGAACUUUCCAGAGAUGGAUUGGUGCCUUCGGGAACUCUGAGACAGGUGCUGCAUGGCUGUCGUCAGCUCGUGUCGUGAG
rnacentral:rRNA from 1 species